CGGACGGAUUGGUUGGUUGGUAGGUUGGUUGGUUGGUUGGUUGGUUGGUUGGUUGGUUGGUUGAUUGGUUGGUUGGUUGGUUGGUUGGUUGGUUGGUUGAUUGGUUGAUUGGAUGGAUGGUUAAUUGAUUGAUUCGUCGAGGAUUAUUUAGCAAUAAGAAUGAAAACUCUUCGCGUGGGCCCUUCGCAUCUGGAGCACCAUACCAAAGAAGUGACGAAGAGUUAUACAAACAAACCUUCGACUUCACAGGACGAAAUGAAACCGCAUUACCUAUAAAUUGCGGAAGUUGACUUGAUGUAUCACCCAACAAAGAGAGAGUUCCUUGCAACAGCUGCAGCUGGGAUAUCCAUUUUUCCACUCAUGCGAAGACGCUGCCGGGGACCAAAGUGGAACCUUGGCGUUAAAGUAACCGAAGCAACGUCAUCGUCAAGACCAACAAGGAGGGCAACGGAGAAUGGAUCAACGAAAAUGUCGCACCGUUAACAUUACACACUACUGACACAUGUUGUUAUCGCGGUGCGUGAAGAAAGCUGCCCCUACAGCCUUUCGGAGAAAAACCAAGUAAAAUUGGUGGGUAAAGACAAGAUGGGUAAGAAAGCAAUAAAUAUAACGAAGAAACAAAGAAAUGGCAACAACAACAUCAACGACAAACGACGAAAACACUCAAAAAUGUCAAGGCACAAUUGUUAUGGUGUUUGGAGUGCGCGCUGUUAUUCGGGAAUCGGGAAGAUUUCGAAAAUGAUGUACAUUUUAUCCUUUUGCAUACAGGCAUAAAUUUUCGUGCCUAUAACUAGUACACAUAGAUGUACGUGUAUACCGUCGGCACUAUGCGAAUUAAGGACUAUUGUACAAUAUGAAAGUACGGCCGUGAAAAAAUGUAUGUGAACAUCAGCAACUAUGCCUGUAUAAUAUAUGUAUAAAUAAUAUACGUGUGUGUAUAUAUGGGCGGUUUAAUGCACGAGGCGAAUAGGGAGGAGGAAACAGCCAUUACAAUUCUUUCAGGGAUUUUUAUUUUAUCAUGAAUGUAAUAACGUGUGAGUGAGCAUGUGUCGAAUUAUACUAUUAAUGAUAAGUAAUAAAUGACCGAUUAAGGAUAUGUAUACGUAUAAUAUAUGUACAUGCCAAAUGUAUUGUAUAUAUACAGCGUGGCGCGAGGGAUGAAUGAGAAUAUCAAUAUUCCUCUGGACGACAUAUUAUUUAUACGGCUGCGCGGUGAAAAAUUUGGUAUUAUGUCGGAAUGGAACGAUUGGCAGGAAAAUUACCAACAAUGUCGAGUCGAGAAAACCAAAUGAAUGGAUUUACGGAUUAAACCAAGAUAUCCGGGAUUCGGGGUAAGGUUUACAAACUACCUUGUGUUCCUCGCGCCCCGAGCGACUAUAUUAUAUGUAUAAGAUUUAUGGGGGAGUAGCGGUUAGGGAUGCGAAAAAAAUGUUGAAAAAUUUGCGUAAUUAUAUAUCGAUGAGGGGGGACUGGUGAGGAUGAAUCAUUCGAUUUCAUAUUAUACAAACGGGUGAUUUUUUGGCGAUUUACAAGAUUUCCGAAAACUCCCGUACCAAAUUGGACUGAAGUACCAUCCAUCGUUUCACCAGAAGCGGUUACAUCGGUCGCAUAAUACAUACAUACAUAUAUAUUAACCCCAGUAUACAUAUAUAUGUAUGAAUAAAGAGUUUUGCGCUGGCUUAUUCGAGUAUCGAUUAACCGCCCAAGGGACUCGGUGGUACGCUCUUAGUACAAAGAUUAAAAUACGAGUUUAAGGAAACGGCUGCAAGUUUUGGGGUAGAGUAUAACGAGGGUGAACGGAAGUCGGGAGUUGACCAGGUUAUCGGGGUGGGUGCAGCAGCAGACUGAUUUUCGUUACGUGCGAUGUGUUUUAAUCAGUUAUUACAUCAUGCUCCGCAUCGCCUGGGAACUUCCGGUUACCAUGUCUGAGACGGAAGGGAUAUUUGAAUAUAAGUGAAAUUUUAUCGAAAAGAGAUAUGAAAAUUAAGAGAGAGUAGUAAGGAGAAAAAAUAUAUAAGUUUAUUUUUGAUACAUUGUUGGGGAGAUCUUCAAGUGAAUCUCUCUUUUUUUUUCACUAUUAUUGAUAUGGUUUUUCCUUUUUCCAUUUAAGAAAUUAUUUUUUCUUUUUAAUUGAUUAUUUUCAAUUUUUUUUUUUUUUUUUCUCUAACUAGAUGUUUCAAAUAACUUAAUGAAGUUUAAAAAAUAUUAAGAGAAAAAAAAAAUGGAAGAAGAACACACGUUGCAAUUUGAAAAAAGUAAUUGAAUAAAAAUAAAAAUGCGAGGAGAAAUUUUAAUAUAAAUUUAAACGUAAAAAAUUAAAAAACAAAAAAAAAAAAAGAAACGAAUUGAUAAAUUCGUGAAAGAAAUGGCACAUAGCUUUUUGCACUAUGUGGGAACAAAAGGAGAUUUUUAGUCGGAUAAAUUGUAUAAUAUAUUUAAUAUAAUAUAUACGGUGAUGAAACCGGUUUUUAGUAGCGGCGGUUUUGUAAAUUGACGAUGGCUGGCGCCUGCGUGGUAACCUAGCCGGGCUCACAGUUUUAUGUGAUCCGAUAGCUUGGGGAAACGUGGACGCCCCCCAUCCGGUACGGUUCUAAGCCGUCGCCGCAAUAGCUGGUGUGGCCGCCAAGUUUAUUUAUCAAGCGCGAAUAUAAAAAAUGUUUGAAAAAAACGAGAAAAGCGAAAAAAAAUAUGAAUAAAUAAUUAAAUAAAUUCUAAAAAAUAAAUACAGUGCCAAGGAACAAAUAACAAGCAUGAUAACAUCAACAACUCGCAAAUUCAUCGAAGAUCCAGCCGGACACAACGGCACGUAUGGUUAUCAACUUAAACACAGCCCGCAAGCCGACUGCGGUCUGAUUCACAGUUAAAUUUGAAGAAAUGAAAAAAACAUUUAGGCCUCGUAAGAAGCAAAAAAAGAAAAGACAAAAAGAAGAAAAACAAUUUUUAACCCUCCUUCCACGUCAUUGAAAAAUUUACAUCCCAAUGAAACAUUGACAGUUAUAUGAGUACCAUUAGCUGCAUCAAGUUAUAGUCCAAACUUUACAACUAUUUAAUAUUCUACAUUCGACAAAUCUAUGUUUAUUAUGAUCGCUUCGUUACGCAAAAUCUAAUCCACUCACAAAAUAAUACGAUGUAUUAGGCAUACGUGCAGGGUUAGUAAUUCCUUAUCGCUGAUGUAACGAUAUAUCGCGAGAGCCGUGUGACAACGCCUAAUUCUAUAAAGCAAAGCUCUGCACUAUGUCACAAGGCAAAGUUUACUACCGAAUCGCUUUGUUUCACCCUUCUAGGAGAACAACUUGUGUGGGCUUUGGGUAGUGACAUUAGGGUUUGUUAAGGUAUAGUGGAAUUAUUGUCUCUGCACUCUGUGGCGUAAUGCGUUCGAGAAUGAGAGGAGAAAAAUCAACGGAAAAAAAGCUAUAACUCUACAUUCAAAUUUCACUCUCUUUCAGGACAUAUCUCUCGAGGAAUAAGAAAAAAAAAUCGCUAGCAACAGCAAAAUGAUGGUGAUAGAAAUUAAAAAAAAAAUCUGCCCCAUACAAUGCUUUCGUUUGAAUUAGGAAGGCUCCGAAUCCUUUGAAUGUACAUACUACUAGCUUAAUUCUUAAACUCAUAAAGCAAAGGAUAAAAAUGAAAUGAUAUGCCCGAUAUGUAUGAAAACCCGCGACAUCAAGGAACCAGCAAAAUUUCAUUAAAAACACCACGAUUUGAACACUAAUACAAGAAAACGAAACAAAAACUAGACCGUAUAAAGCGGAGAAACCAGAUCUUGGAAAAAAAAAACUAACUCCUCACCUCAGCAUUUUAGACACGAACAACACAC
rnacentral:lncRNA from 1 species